AUUUUAAGUGGUCGCUCAGCCAGUAUCGUGGCUAUGACCCUCGGCUUGUAACCGAGUGGGUUCGGGUUCGAAUCCCGAGUAAAACA